CAAGAUUGAAGAAGAUAGAGAAGUUAGGUGCAAUCAAGAUGAAGAUCAAGUGUGAAGGAUUGAUCGAUGCUCUCUUAUGCAAGGAGAAGUCAUUUAUUAUGAAUGAUGCUAGUGAGAGACCAGUAUGAGGUGGAGCUCCAAGUAAAGGUGGAUGGGGCACGAGAUGGAAGAUUCGAGAGGAUGAUAAGCAACGUCAUCAGAAUGCUAUCUCGAGUAGGUCUUAGGUU
rnacentral:lncRNA from 1 species